rnacentral:rRNA from 1 species
AUUGAACGCUGGCGGCAGGCUUAACACAUGCAAGUCGAGCGGAGAUGAGGUGCUUGCACCUUAUCUUAGCGGCGGACGGGUGAGUAAUGCUUAGGAAUCUGCCUAUUAGUGGGGGACAACAUUCCGAAAGGAAUGCUAAUACCGCAUACGUCCUACGGGAGAAAGCAGGGGAUCUUCGGACCUUUCGCUAAUAGAUGAGCCUAAGUCGGAUUAGCUAGUUGGUGGGGUAAAGGCCUACCAAGGCGACGAUCUGUAGCGGGUCUGAGAGGAUGAUCCGCCACACUGGGACUGAGACACGGCCCAGACUCCUACGGGAGGCAGCAGUGGGGAAUAUUGGACAAUGGGGGGAACCCUGAUCCAGCCAUGCCGCGUGUGUGAAGAAGGCCUUAUGGUUGUAAAGCACUUUAAGCGAGGAGGAGGCUACUGAGACUAAAACUCUCGGAUAGUGGACGUUACUCGCAGAAUAAGCACCGGCUAACUCUGUGCCAGCAGCCGCAGUAAAAC